rnacentral:lncRNA from 1 species
UGCAAGAGAAGGUAAGGAAGAAACUGCAGCAGCUGCAGCAGCAACAGAAACAAGAGCAACAGGUGGAAAAUGAAGAUUGUUCACGGGAAACAUACGCCCAACUCUAGGACCGGUCCCAAGCUCCUGCCUCGUCCUCGGAUCCUGCACAAUACACCUAGAAUAGUAAAAAAUAAGGCGAUAACCUAGUUCAGCUAAUUGUCCCACAGAGCACAAAUUAUAGGAUAGG